UUUGCCUGAAUGACAACACGACCCUUAACAAAAAAAAGGAUCUACUUCACCUCAUGUUCCUAUGCUCCGUUUGCUAAUGCGGUUCUUCUAUCAUUUUUGCCAUCAAAGAGUAACGAAACUUGUUUAUGUGUUUUAUUAAGCUGCUUAGCUAGAGAGUUAAGGUUGUGAGAUGGAGGUUAGAGACCCACGUGACUUGUUAGAAAGGACAGGGGCCUUUUCCACGUGAGCACAAAUAAUACCAUUUUGCUUCCCCAGAAGAUGUUUCAUUUCACGCCUUAUAGAUUUUUCUAUAAAACUCCAUGGACCCUCUCUAACAAUUAUAAGAAAAUCCUAGUAGCUAGAGGAACAUUUUUUUCCUUUGAGGCAGUGGUGAGUGUGCAAAGUUAGAGGGAUGUGUUCACAAGGUUGCUGACGAAGCUUCUCAUGAUGAAGUUGAUGGAACUUGCACGGCGCUACUGGCGAAGUUUGGAUGGUUGUUGUUGACGCUACGAAGUGUAGAGGUUGAACCUCACCUAUCAUCACAACUUUGCUCAUGCUAAUGCUGUCCCAGAACCUCAAUCUUACUAUCAGGCAGUGAAAUAUGAGGAGUGGCGCCAUGCCAUGGUUGAAGAACUCGACGCACUCGAAGCCAACAAAAUCUGGGAAUUGGUUCCUCUACCAAAGGGUAAACACACCAUAGGGUGCAGAUGGGUCUAUAAUGUCAAGAUGUGUGCAGAUGGCACUCUAGAGCGCUAUAAAGCUCGACUCGUGGCGAAGGAUUUUACACAACAAUCAGACAUUGAUUUUAAGGACACAUUUAGUCCUGUUGCUAAAAUCACUACAUUGUGCAUUCUUCUCACCAUUGCAGCUGUAAAGCAUUGGACCAUGCAUGUUGCAACCUGACAUCAACAACGCCUUUCUAAAUGACCAGUUGAACAAAGAGGUGUACAUGACCUUACCUCUUGGACAUCCAGAAAGGAAAUAGGGUCUAGUAUGCAAGCUUGUGAAAUCUCUUUAUAGCGUUCGACAAGCAUUGAGGCAGUGAUUCACCAAAUUUUGCACAACCCUUACUUAGGAUGGGUUCAAGCAAUGCAAGCAGGAUUACUCGUUGUUUUCAUUGGGUGAGAGAAAUGAUACCACUUUCCUAAUUGUUUAUGUCGACGACAUUAUUGUUGUUGGACCAAGGCAUAAACUAGUGAGAAAAUUUAAAGAAUAGCUGCAAUCAAUUUCUAAAUUGAAGAUUUUGGGUGGUAAAGUUUUUCUUGGGUCUGGAGUUAGCUCGCUCAAAGCAAGGAAUUUCCUUAACACAAAGGAAGUAUACCCUUUUCCUCCUUGAAGAUACUGGUUACCUUGAUUGUAAGCCAGCGUUGAUACCUAUAGAAGCCAAAUUAAAGAUUCGAGAUGCAGAAGUAAGAGACCCAAUUCCAAAUGCUUCAAGCUACCGAAGGCUGAUUAGCAGGUUAAUGUACUUGACCAUAUCUAGAUCCGAUAUCACGUUUGCUAUGGCAAAGCUUGCCCAAUUCAUGUUCGAUCCUCGCAUGCCACAUCUCCACGCAGCCCAUAGUGUCCUUGGUACUUAAAAGGUGCUCCUGGUCAAGGUUUCCUCUCACUACAAGACACACGGCAGAUAGCAUCGCUUUAUUAGAGUCGGUUUUGAAAACAGCCACUAUCUGCAGUUUAGCGGCAAUUUUCGUGGCAGAUUUGAGAGAAGCCGCUAUUUGCUUUCUUUUCAGGGUUCAAUUAGAUGCCCCUCUUUCUCAGAUCUAUCUCAAUUCUCAUUCUGAUUGUCUUCACUCUCACUAGUUACAACACAAUUCUCUUCUCUCUAACUUCCAUCAUCAUCUCUGCACCUCUCCAAAGUUUCUACGUUGUGCUAGCUCCUCUGCUUUUUCUGCUUCUUCUGCUUCCUCCUCUGUUCUGCCAGAUCUGCUAGCUAUCUCAUCCGCGUAGUGUUGUGCAUGGUUCAAAUCUGCGGUAGCGACACGAGCAUCCUGUCACCGUCACCUCCACCACACCUGUUGCAUGUUCUUCUCCUUCUUCCUUUAUUUCUUUAUUUGGAUUGUCGUUUAUUUAUCUACUUUUUUCUGCUAGGUUUUCACGUUUUUACAAGAGGAUAAGUGCCCUUCCCCCAUAGCAAAAGGGAUCUUAUGUCCCAGAUCCGCUCGCUGCUCGUGCCUCCUUCCUUCUGCUUUGCACCUUCACUUCUAGUUUUCUCUUUAUGAUUUUUUUCUAUUUUUUUGCGCAUUCUAAAUCCUGGUUCUGAGUUUGUUCUUGGGUUUUUCUACUAAUUAAAUUGAUUGUUUUGCUUUAUCGAAGAAGAAGAGAAAGCUCAAUAGAGAAUCUUUUUAGUAUAUUCAAUUCAAUAUCUAAAUCAAUUUGUAAAUUGCAGUGUGAGAAUAAUUUUUUCAAAUAUUUUUAUAAAUUUGUCAGAAUCAAGUGAGAAAGUCGAGAGAGAACAUCACACAACAUAGCUGCAAAUUUGGAUUGCAAUUUUGUUUAGGUUUUUUUUUUGUUUUAGUUCUCAAUUUAGUACAGUUUAAAAGUCUUGUGUUGCAUCUACAAUCACACAAGACUAAAGUGAAAUAUACUAAUAUAAUUUGGUAUUGUAUUGCUUUACAUCAGGACAUGGAAUAAAGUUUCUUAGUAAUUUGGUUAUUCAACUUAGGGAAGUCUGUAACCAUUAUUUAUGUCUCAAUACAUUAUUUUAUUUUUCUCCAAGCUGUUAUGGUUAUUUGUGUUUGCCAAUUGCUUUUAGGUUUUGAUCUUCAGUCAGUGGACCAAAGUGUUAGACAUACUGGAUUACUAUUUUAGUGAGAAAGACUUUGAAGUUUGUGAAAUUGAUGGUAGUGUUAGACAUACUGCAUUAGCAUGAGCCGUUAAUUUAGAUUUAUUUGUUGCUCUUGUUAUAAGUUUUAUAUACUUCUUUAGAUUUUUAAUCCAAGUUGUACAAUUUAUUAAUAUUAAUUUAUAGCAUGGUUGUCUGCAAAUUUUAUUCCAAGUAAUCAUGCAACAUGGCUGGCACAUUUUACGACAUCAUCUUUGACUAAAACUCAGCUGUUAUAAACCAUGCUUAUCUUUCAUUUGAAUCCAUGUACAUUAUACGCUGAAUUUUCUUUCUUUCUUCUUGUAUUAUUAUUACUAUUUUGUUAAUUUAUUUUUUAACUUUUUCAGUUUGUUACUUAAUCAGGGAAAUCAAGGUUACAAAGACAAGCAGUGGCAGAAAGUCAUUGGAUUUUAUUCGGAAGCCAUAAAACUAAGCAGCAACAAUGCAACAUACGACAGUGAUAGGUCCCAAGUUUAUCUAGAGCUUGGAAGUUACCUCCAAGCUGAGGCGUAGUGUACAAAAGCAAUUAACCUUGACAAAAAGAAUGUCAAAGUGUAUUUUAGAAGAGGUAGAGCUAGAGAGAUGCUUGACUACUAUACCGAUGCAAUUGAUGGUAAGAUCUUUCAUUCAGUUCAGACUUGUGUGCGACAAGUAUCUGCACAGGCUACUAUAUUUCUUUUUUUACAUCUUUGUUCGAUUGUUGCUCUUAUUUUCAUAUGAAAGUUUCAGAAUUUCCAAAUCAUAGGUGAACUAUUUUUCUUUGCACAAUACAACUUGGAAGAUUAGAAGUUGCAAAGGUUUGUUCUUGUAAUGCCUGCAAAGAGAUAUUAGUUGGCUUGUAAAAGUUGUUAACUUGGUUAUCAAAUUUCUAUAUUUGUGUUUCACUUGCUAUUUUAUGCCAUGAAUAAUUUUUGCCCUAUUUCGCUGCAGAGUAUUGCAAUAGAAAUGCAGAGUGAGUCUAGAUGGAAGUAGAUGAGAGAAUUAGCUAUGUUUAAUGGAAGGGUACUUUUCUAUGUUAUUUGAAACUUAAAUUGUAUUUCUCCAACACCUAAGCUUGUGGAGGUUUACUUAUUUUUUAAUAAAUUGUAUUUCUCAAACGGGAGAAAUUAUUAUUUUAAUAUGACAGUGAAGAUUGAGGAGGUUAUAAACAUCUGCUAUUUUUAAAAAAAAA